UACGUAGGGUGCGAGCGUUGUCCGGAAUUAUUGGGCGUAAAGAGCUCGUAGGCGGUCUGUCGCGUCGGUCGUGAAAACUUGGGGCUUAACCCUGAGCUUGCGGUCGAUACGGGCAUGACUGGAGUUCGGUAGGGGAGACUGGAAUUCCUGGUGUAGCGGUGAAAUGCGCAGAUAUCAGGAGGAACACCGGUGGCGAAGGCGGGUCUCUGGGCCAUAACUGACGCUGAGAAGCGAAAGCAUGGGGAGCGAACAGG
rnacentral:rRNA from 1 species